UUUUUGUUUUGUUUUGUUUUUUUGCUCUUAGAUAUAUAUUUGUUUCUUUAUUUUUUAUUCACCGUUUUUGUUUAGAGUUUUUAAGAUAUACUUCAAAGCAAGUUGAGGGUUCAGAAACUUACCUUUCUCUUCUCCAAAACCAUCAGAUCAUUUGAAGAGGGAUGACAAGGCUGAGAGGGAAAGAAAUAGAUUCUUGUCCUAAAGAUGUGACAACCAUCAUCUGCUGUGGCCAUAUCUGAAUAUUAUCAAGGUUGCAACCUACAAGCCUGAGGAUGAGACCACUAACUACAUGCAAUAAUCUCAGAAGUUGAUCAACUUAGUCUGCAACAAAGAAUGGUAUGGAAUUGAUCAUUCUUGUCCUUGGCAAACAGAUUUGGUUUCCACACACCAAUAUGCUACGCCAAAUAUACAGAAUCCAUGGAGUUAAAUGAAGCCUUGACAGACAUCGAACCUUGAUUUGAGUGCAAGAAUACGUAAAAAGCAUGAAAAUCUUUAGCCACAGUGAUUUUGCUACAAGUACCAUUCAGUUUGCUUUUUGGUUGGUAUGAGGAGCAUCAAAGCAAACAACCUUCGGAUAUUGUGGCUUAUACUGUGUUUUUUUGUGUAUCUUCCAGCCUCUAGUUAAGGGUGGUUAUUUAUUCUAUAAUGGCAUCCCCAUCCUAUUUACCGGGUGUUAUUCUUGGGUUAAAAUUUGGUGUUUAUUUGCUACAUGAUGCAGGAUACUCAUGAUUUUAUAAUAAAUGGUAAUUAAUGUAAUGGUAGACACUGCAGUGAGGUUGGCUGAAUAUGUAUGAUUCCUCUGUAAUAGACCUAACGACAGUUCCCAGUCCAGUUAAAUGAAAAAGAUAGAAAAGGGAAGAACAGAAGGAGUAACAAGAUGUGUAUGUCAGAAAUUAAUAUUUAUUUUUUUAUAGGUAUAGAAAUAUUCUACAUGUUAAUAAAGAAAAAAUCAAUAGCUUAAGUAAAUAUUGGAAGUAUUGCUGGGAAAUAUACAAUCUUUGUGUUUAAUUCAUGUUUAAUUCUAGUGUAUUGUCUUCAGUGCUUACUUUUAAAGUAGAUGAAAUUUCAGGACAGUUGAAUUCUACACUAAGAAUACAUUAGUAAGAAAAGAUAUAGUGGAAGGCCAUUAAGUCACAAUAUUUUGUGGAAAACCGAGUUUUAAUAGGUAUGUCCUCUAAUAUGAAGACUUCAAAUUGCGUAGAUGAUAUAGCAUAUCUGUUCUGAUUAAGAUAUCUUUACAAUCAGAGUGGAAAUAUCAAUGAUGAAUGUUUUUCUUUUAGAAACUUUUGAUCAAAAUGAUUCAUGUAAUAGCUUUUUCUAAAACAAUGCCAUCAUGGAUCAGAUGUUCACCACAUUUUUGUCUGUUUCUUUUAUUGUACUUUGUAAUUGGCUAUUAUUCAGGUUGAUUUCUGAAAAAAAUAUAUCUGCAGGCCCAUCUACACUACAAAGGCCACAUGUGGUGCUUGUGCAUGCCACUCAUCAGUUUCAAAUCAUGGUGACAGAGUAAAGUGUAGACUGCUGACCAACAGUUUGGGCAGUUCACACUGUACUGACUACAAUGUGUAUAGUAAGUGUGAGUGACAGACGCACAUGUAAGCUGACCAUAACUUUCUGGCAUGCAGUUUUCCCAGAUAAUAAGGAACUUUAAGAAUGAUGUUCACCAAUGUAUAGUAAUGUGCAUAAUUAUGUGAUAAAUCCUGAGAUUUAUGGAUCAUUAUCAAUGUUGUACUCAUUCCCCACUGUUGUAAGUGAAAUGUUUACUUUCGUUCUGUACCACUAGGCUGUAGGUGACAGGUAUCUCUGUGCAAACAUAUCAACCACUUACGAACUACCCCAGUCAGGGACGGUGCUUAGGUUGUUCAUGUCUGCACUGUUAUUUCCCCAAGUACACACCAUUGCCAUGCUGGAACACCACAGGUGGACAAUGAUAAUGUAGGUGGACAUUUAGUCUUUCUAGUCAAUUUGAUUUUAAGUAAAAAAUGCAACUCAAAGAAAAUUACCUGAAGUGUACCCAAGGAAAUUAAUUCCAUAUAAUCAACUAGAAUUGUCUGUAACACUGCUGCUCAAGGAAGGACUGGUCCAUCUGGGACUUUUUUAAACUGAAUUCGGCAUAUCCAUAGUAAAACAUUUGUUUACAUACAUUUGAUAUUAUGAUACUUUGCAACUCCACUGGAAAAUACUGAAACCUGGGUUAAUGUUAGUACUUGCUAAUGUAGCUGAUGAACUUGCCUUUCUAAGCAGUGAAGAUUUAGUGGUUUCCAUAAAUGAAAAUUGUAUUGUCAAAUACAAUACAUUAUCACAUCCAUUCUGGGUACAACUGCUUUUUUUGUUCUUGCUAAUGCAAUACCACUAUCUGCAGUAAUUCUUGACAGAGCAGAAUUAUUACUCAGUUUUUAAAGUGUUGUUUUUCAGUUUGGUAUGUAUAUUUUUCCAAGUAAUGGAAAAUAGUAAAUAUACCAAUGAUUACACCUGACUAAAUAUACCAAUGAUUACACUCGACUAAACAUACCAAUGAUUACACCUGUUUCAUUGGCAUUAGUAAGAAAUUUGCCAUGCAGACUACUAGUAGCCCUUCAUCUCCAGGUGUUGGUAACUAACAUGUCAUUAAUUUUAAAUGUAUCCUAAACUGGGACCAGUAACUGUGUAUUGUAGUUUUGCAAGCCAACAUUUUCAUCUUUCAUAUGAAAUUAAACAACACACACAGAAGAAUCAAAAUAUGGUUGAAAUAUCUUUAUUCCAACAGACGUCCAUUUCUGUAGAAAAAUAUAGACUGCACCUCCAUGGGUAAUUGUAGUGUGCUUUGAGACAGUUCAUUUAACAUUUAGGUACAGAUUACAACCAAAUUUUAGUGCUUUGAGGACUCUUGGUUGUGACUAUAUUAACAAAGGCUGAAGAUGUAUCUCAGCUUUUUGCUACAAUUUUUAAUGAGGUAAAUAGUGUUAACAGAGAAAUGGACCCAAGCAGAGAAACAAAUAUUUACUUCAUCUAUAUAUUAAUAUAACUCAUCAUACUAUCCAUUUUUAUUAUUAACUUGGAAAUAGAUUUUCUUUUUUGCUAUCUCAUACAGGAAAUCAGAACAGAUAUCACUGUAAUUUACUUAAGCUAAACCUUUUACCAUGGCAAAACAUGUGCAUAAGAGUAUAGUCUCAAAGAAUUAACAGAAUUGAAUACUUAACAAUAUUUUAUUCAAAUUCACAAUAUUUAUAGUGAAUAUUUAUUUAAAAUGCAAAAUUGUUUUACACUGAAUUUUAGAACUUAAAGGGAUAAUUUUUUUUUUCUUUUUUGGGGAGGGAGUUUUCUCUUCAUGUAAGAUGUCUUUCUGAAUGACCAUUGCCACUGGAGAGAGUAACUGUGCAAUGGCAUAGCAUGGCUGUCUGAUAAAAAAUUUCACCAUUCUAGUGUGAGCAACUGCAUUGUCAGAUUUAAAUGCUUGUAUAGUUAGCUAUUAUAUUCUUUGUCAAAGCUCUGUCUGUAUACCU